CAGAUUGCAGGCUGCAACUCGCCUGCAUGAAGUCGGAAUUGCUAGUAAUCGUAGGUCAGCAUACUACGGUGAAUACGUUCCCGGGCCUUGUACACACCGCCCGUCAAACCAUGAGAGUUGGCAACACCCGAAGUCGGUAGUCUAACCGCAAGGAGGACGCCGCCGAAGGUGGGGUUGAUGAUUAGGGUUAAGUCGUAACAAGGUAGC
rnacentral:rRNA from 1 species